UAUCAGAUUCCCAGAAAAACAAACAGAUGUGGCAACGUGAUCUCAGGUUUACAGCAGGACUUUGAUCAGGAAGUUAAUUUUGCUGAGGUGAGCUGAGGUGAGAGGAUUCGUCGACGCAUUAUACUCAGGAUGUUCUGCAGAAUGGAUGGAUUCUUCUUUAAACCAAAGCGCUGUACCUUCAGUGUUUUGGUUUUACAGAACAUUGUGAUGCUCCUUUUGUUGACUGAAUCCUAUAGAGGAGAAUCUCAGGGGGUUGGACCAUCUCAGACAAUAACAGCAUUAGUUGGUGAAGACGUUAUCCUGCCAUGCCAACUUGAACCUGCAGUAGAUGCUGUUUCCAAGGUUGUGGAGUGGGGAAGACCUGAUCUAGAACCAAGAUUUGUCCAUGUGAGGCAUGAAGGUCAAAACCUUUUGGACAACCAGAAUCCAUCAUACAAAGGAAGAACAUCAGUGUCUGUGGACAAACUGAGACAUGGAGACCUUUCCCUGAAACUGUCUGCAGUGAGACUCUCUGAUAAUGGAGUCUAUAGAUGCUACUUUCCCUCACAGAAGAAACAGUCUACUGUUGAGCUUGUUGUUGGUAAGUUAUGUAUAUGUGGUAAAAACAUUCCGACAUAACUCAGAUUCAAGGGCCUCCAAUAGAGCUGUACCUUCACAUGUUUGUAUCCAUUAGACAUGAAACUCCCAUAUAAUAGUGAGAAGCUUGCAUUGGGUGUCUUUUAGUUUUAUAGUCUCUUGCUUUGUAACACAAUGAUUGUGCAUAUUGAAACUAGCUGCACGUUUCCGUUAGUGGUUGUGUUGUUUCUCACUUAUUUCUAAGAAAUCUGCAAAUACUGUUUAUUCACUCACUUUGAAUGAAUUGUUUUGUGGUGUUAUUGCAACCAACAUACUGUGAGAAAUAAUAUAAAUUGAUUUUGGAAAUUUGUUAAAAGAAACACAAUACUGGAAGU